rnacentral:rRNA from 1 species
UAACGCUGAGGUGUGAUGACGAGGCACUACGGUGCUGAAGUGACAAAUGCCCUGCUUCCAGGAAAAGCCUCUAAGCAUCAGGUAACAUCAAAUCGUACCCCAAACCGACACAGGUGGUCAGGUAGAGAAUACCAAGGCGCUUGAGAGAACUCGGGUGAAGGAACUAGGCAAAAUGGUGCCGUAACUUCGGGAGAAGGCACGCUGAUGGUA